rnacentral:lncRNA from 1 species
CGUGCGUGCGUGUGCGUGUGUUAAUUAUCUACAUCAGAUAUGUAUGAUUGAUGAUUGACUGUAUGCAUAACAUGUACGUAUUGUGAAAUGCAUGUCUAAACUGAAAUAGGGAGACUUUUACCUUUUUAAAUUGUGAAAUGCAUGUCUAAACUGAAAUAGGUAGACUUUUACUUUUUUAAAUCCUAAUUUGUUACUACUAGCGUGGGUGUAUCAUAGAAGCGCUACUGCUAUUCCUUUACUAGUAGCGUGGGUGUGAAAUACUAGUAGCGUGGGGCACCAGCACUACUGGUAUGUCUGUUU